rnacentral:rRNA from 1 species
UACAGAGGUCUCAAGCGUUGUUCGGAUUUAUUGGGCGUAAAGGGCGCGUAGGCGGCGCGGUAAGUCGGGUGUGAAAUCUCGGAGCUUAACUCCGAAACUGCAUUCGAUACUGCCGUGCUUGAGGACUGGAGAGGAGACUGGAAUUUACGGUGUAGCGGUGAAAUGCGUAGAUAUCGUAAGGAAGACCAGUGGCGAAGGCGGGUCUCUGGACAGUUCCUGACGCUGAGGCACGAAGGCCAGGGGAGCAAACGGG